GUGGGGAAUCUUAGACAAUGGGGGAAACCCUGAUCUAGCCAUGCCGCGUGAGCGAUGAAGGCCUUAGGGUUGUAAAGCUCUUUCAGCUGGGAAGAUAAUGACGGUACCAGCAGAAGAAGCCCCGGCUAACUCCGUGCCAGCAGCCGCGGUAAUACGGAGGGGGCUAGCGUUGUUCGGAAUUACUGGGCGUAAAGCGCGCGUAGGCGGACCAGAAAGUUGGAGGUGAAAUCCCAGGGCUCAACCUUGGAACUGCCUUCAAAACUCCUGGUCUGGAGUUCGAGAGAGGUGAGUGGAAUUCCGAGUGUAGAGGUGAAAUUCGUAGAUAUUCGGAGGAACACCAGUGGCGAAGGCGGCUCACUGGCUCGAUACUGACGCUGAGGUGCGAAAGCGUGGGGAGCAAACAGGAUUAGAUACCCGUGUAGUCC
rnacentral:rRNA from 1 species